GGGCGGGGUGAACGACCUCUGCAGGAGGAAGCAGCCCUUAGGAAGCAUGCUAUGUAAACAGGCUGGCUCACAUACAGGAAGCAGGGUGGAGACAGGGUGAAGCUAAGAAGAGGCAUGGCUAGGCUUCCAGGGCACUUGCUGCCUCGGGAGCCAUGGCAGCCUUGUUCUCUGUGAACCACAGCACCUCUCAGGGGCCUGGGCGGAAGAGUAACGUACUUGGAUGUGUGUUUUCAAAAGGUGGUGAGACGAAAGGCAGUCCCCCUAAAGACUGAUGUUUGACUCCCUGAGGCUGUGUGAUUCCAACAUUAACUGAAGACGAGAAGCCCUUUGGGAAUCCUCUGGGAGUCAGUACUCGACUGAGACAUCAGAGACAUCCAACCUCAUGGACUGAACAGUUAUUGUUGACAUGGAACACAAGCUGUAAGCCACUCCAAUAAACCCCCCUUUAACACAGA